rnacentral:rRNA from 1 species
UACGUAGGGCGCAAGCGUUAUCCGGAAUUAUUGGGCGUAAAGAGCUCGUAGGCGGUCUGUUACGUCUGCUGUGAAAACCCAGGGCUUAACCCUGGGCUUGCAGUGGAUACGGGCAGACUAGAGGUAGGUAGGGGAGAAUGGAAUUCCUGGUGUAGCGGUGAAAUGCGCAGAUAUCAGGAGGAACACCGGUGGCGAAGGCGGGUCUCUGGGCCGAUACUGACGCUGAGGAGCGAAAGCGUGGGGAGCGAACAGG